UGUGGGAGCGAGCCUGCUCGCGAAAGCGGUGGCUCAGGCACCUUUUGCACCGGAUGUGCCGACGCCUUCGCGAGCAGGCUCGCUCCCACA
rnacentral:antisense_RNA from 1 species